rnacentral:tRNA from 2 species
GGAGAGAUGGCAGAGUGGUCGAAUGCACUGGUCUUGAAAACCAGCGUACCGAGAGGUACCGGGGGUUCGAAUCCCUCUCUCUCCGCCA